rfam:Erysipelothrix larvae strain LV19 chromosome, complete genome.
AUGUCCUUUAACUAAAGUCCAGAGAGGCUUGGAAGGGUUCGUCUGAUCCAUCUUUUCGUAGUACGAUGAUCAACAUCCUCAGUCUCUUUGGCUGAGGAUUUUUAUUU